rnacentral:lncRNA from 1 species
GAGCUUUUCAUACAAGAGACAACUCCACCAAUAAAAAGCACACCAAUUUCUCUCUCCAAUAUAAAUAUAUUCCCCUCCAUGUUGGAUAAAACAAUGUAUAUACCCGCACAAAGCUUUUGGAUUUGGAUAUGAGCUCCCUCCACUAUAGCCUGCGCGUGGGCUGAAUUCCCGUUUCCGUUCGCUGUCUCCCUCUCAUGAAGAUCUUCCCCCAAUAUAAUCUCACCCUCUCCCUCAUUAUGCUUGCAAUCAUUAUUCUUGGUUGCCUCACGCGCAUGCCCUUCCCUCCACACCUCCUCCCACUUCCCCUUCCCCCACUCUAUAAAUCCCCCCUCA